rnacentral:misc_RNA from 1 species
UGAAAAUAUAGAUCACUAAAAAGAAGGUAAAGUCCAACACAUCCAAUAGUAUUGUUUACGUGUGCCGUAUGCUCUAGAAUUCUCUUUUACAACUACUUAGUAUUAUAUAACAUAACUAAGAGAAAUCGAAUAACCAUUUUUCCCCGAGGAUUUCGAUUCCCAGUUCCAUCAAACAAUAUGAAAGUAUUCCUACAAAAUAACUGAUAGUUAAACUAAAAGGGAUUUAGGGUUUCUGAAUCCACAAACAAAGAAGUAAGCUUACAGCUUGAUUGCGCCUUCACUCCG